rnacentral:lncRNA from 1 species
CUCCGGAUUAUUGGAGAUAAUGCAUCACUGUAUUUUAAUUUAGUAAAACCUCGAUUGGGAUAAUCCAUAUGAUGGAUUUGAAAGUCAUACAUUCAUUCAAAAAUAUAUAUAACCUAAUGAUGGAAUAAAUUAUGUAUAUCAUUUACAUAUAACAUCUAUCCAACUUAAAACUAAGGUAAGUGAGUACAUGAUUCCAUGCAUCAUGCUACAUCAUUUUUUUAUUCAUAUAUAAACCAUUCAAUAGAGGAUAUAUAAACUAAUCUGUUCGAUAUAAAAAUUAGUACAUUCAUAGCAUAACCAAAAUACAGCAUACAAAUCAUUACAUCAUCACAACACACAAAACCAAGAUGAUGUCGACACACUCUAAUCCUUAGGAUUAGUUUGGAUAGCAGGAUGAUAGCGAUGGGUAGAUAAGGAUGGUCUAGAGAAAGAUGACUGAGAAGAGAAUGGCUG